rnacentral:rRNA from 1 species
GAUGAACGCUGGCGGCGUGCCUAAUACAUGCAAGUCGAACGAAACUUCUUUAUCACCGAGUGCUUCCACUCACCGAUAAAGAGUUGAGUGGCGAACGUGUGAGUAACACGUGUGCAACCUGCCCAAAAGAGGGGGAUAACACUUGGAAACAGGUGCUAAUACCGCAUAACCAUAGUUACCGCAUGGUAACUAUGUAAAAUGUGGCUAUGCUACCGCUUUUUGAUGGGCGGGCGGCGCAUUAGCUAGUUGGUAGGGUAAAGACUUAGCAAGGGAAUGAUGCGUAGGCGAAUGGAGAGGUUGAACGGCCACGUGGUGACUGAGACACGGCCAAAACUCCUACGGGAGGAAGCAGUAGGGAAUGUGACACAAUGGGCGAAAGCCUGAUGGAGCAACGCCGAGUGGGAGAAGAAGGUCUUCGGAUCGUAAAACCCUGUUGUUAGUGAAAAAAGUGCGUGAGAGUAACUGUUCACGUUUUGACGGUAUCUAACCAGAAAGCCACAGCUAACUACGUG